rnacentral:rRNA from 1 species
UACGAAGGGGGCUAGCGUUGCUCGGAAUCACUGGGCGUAAAGGGUGCGUAGGCGGGUCUUUAAGUCAGGGGUGAAGGUCCUGGAGCUCAACUCCAGAACUGCCUUUGAUACUGAAGAUCUUGAGUUCGGGAGAGGUGAGUGGAACUGCGAGUGUAGAGGUGAAAUUCGUAGAUAUUCGCAAGAACACCAGUGGCGAAGGCGGCUCACUGGCCCGAUACUGACGCUGAGGCACGAAAGCGUGGGGAGCAAACAGG